GCGGCGAACGGGUGAGUAACACGUGGGUGAUCUGCCUCGUACUUCGGGAUAAGCCUGGGAAACUGGGUCUAAUACCGGAUAUGACCUUCGGAUGCAUGUCUGAGGGUGGAAAGAUUUAUCGGUACGAGAUGGGCCCGCGGCCUAUCAGCUUGUUGGUGGGGUAAUGGCCUACCAAGGCGACGACGGGUAGCCGGCCUGAGAGGGCGACCGGCCACACUGGGACUGAGACACGGCCCAGACUCCUACGGGAGGCAGCAGUGGGGAAUAUUGCACAAUGGGCGAAAGCCUGAUGCAGCGACGCCGCGUGAGGGAUGACGGCCUUCGGGUUGUAAACCUCUUUCGACAGGGACGAAGCGCAAGUGACGGUACCUGUAGAAGAAGCACCGGCCAACUACGUGCCAGCAGCCGCGGUAAUACGUAGGGUGCGAGCGUUGUCCGGAAUUACUGGGCGUAAAGAGCUUGUAGGCGGUUCGUCGCGUCGAUCGUGAAAACUUGGGGCUCAACCCCAAGCUUGCGGGCGAUACGGGCGGACUAGAGUACUUCAGGGGAGACUGGAAUUCCUGGUGUAGCGGUGAAAUGCGCAGAUAUCAGGAGGAACACCGGUGGCGAAGGCGGGUCUCUGGGAAGUAACUGACGCUGAGAAGCGAAAGCGUGGGUAGCGAACAGGAUUAGAUACCCUGGUAGUCCACGCCGUAAACGGUGGGU
rnacentral:rRNA from 1 species